rnacentral:lncRNA from 1 species
UCUUGUUUCAUGUUAUUUUGUACAUAGUUGAGUUAAUCAUCACCAUUUGAAAAGUUAUAAUCUUGAUGUAUUAUAGUUGUGUCAUGUUAUUAUUUUUUCUAGGCCGACCAAAUCGAUCAAGGACUAUUACGGGCCGAUCUCAUCGACCCCGACCAACCACUAGGGAUGGGGUCUCAAUCCUUCUGCAAUCUUCCCAAAUUAUGAACAUUAUCAUCCUUAUAACUAUAAGAGAUCUCAAC